rnacentral:rRNA from 95 species
UACCCGCUGAGUUUAAGCAUAUCAAUAAGCGGAGGAAAAGAAACU